rnacentral:rRNA from 1 species
UACGGAGGGUGCAAGCGUUAUCCGGAAUCACUGGGUUUAAAGGGUGCGUAGGCGGCCAUUUAAGUCAGUCGUGAAAUCGCUGGGCUUAACCCAUGCAAUUGCGAUUGAUACUGAGUGGCUUGAAUCAGGUUGAGGUAGGCGGAAUGAGACAUGUAGCGGUGAAAUGCAUAGAUUUGUCUUAGAACACCGAUUGCGAAGGCAGCUUGCUGGACCUGUAUUGACGCUGAGGCACGAAAGCGUGGGGAGCAAACAGG